UGUCCCGCAGAAGAAAUCAAGUCAAAUGGGCUUGGAGUGACAUGAGGGUUUCCAUUGAUCCCCGGGACAGGAGACAGUGCUUAUACAGCCCCAAAAGGCCGUCUGGAACAUCUUAAGAAGUGUGAACGGGGUCGCUGGUUUGGCAGGUGAGAGCUUGUGUCAGGUGUGAUCGUCAUGUGCUCGCGGUUCACGCGUCUCAGGAGAGGCGGCAUAAAUGACACAUUUGUCAUGCUCCCUUCCCAGAUUAGAUUAGUGCGCUAAUUCCACGGCGAGACUCGCAUGGCGGAGCGCCAUCCCUCCAUUAGCGUUAUUACUGACGGUGUUUGCAGCAAUUAAUUGUCAGUCAGUUAAUGCAGAGAGAUCGGAGCGAUUGCAGUGACCUGACAGAAGACUAGAAGGCUGCAAACGAACAUCACUAGAGUGACAGAUUUGAAGUGCACUACAUAGGGAGCGACUCGAAUGCUUGAAAGAGAUAUUGUUAGUGUUUCGCUAAGCUGACCACAUGAUCAAAUAAACAUAAAAACACACCAA